rnacentral:rRNA from 1 species
UACGUAGGGUGCGAGCGUUGUCUGGAAUUAUUGGGCGUAAAGAGCUCGUAGGCGGUUUGUCGCGUCGGAUGUGAAAUCCCGGGGCUUAACCCCGGGCCUGCAUUCGAUACGGGCUGACUAGAGUUCGGCAGGGGAGACUGGAAUUCCUGGUGUAGCGGUGAAAUGCGCAGAUAUCAGGAAGAACACCAAUGGCGAAGGCAGCUCUCUGGGACGGUACUGACGCUGAGACGCGAAAGCGUGGGGAGCGAACAGG